AUUGAACGCUGGCGGCAUGCCUUACACAUGCAAGUCGAACGGCAGCGGGGGAGAAGCUUGCUUUUCCUGCCGGCGAGUGGCGAACGGGUGAGUAAUACAUCGGAACGUGCCCUGUAGUGGGGGAUAACUAGUCGAAAGAUUAGCUAAUACCGCAUACGACCUGAGGGUGAAAGUGGGGGACCGCAAGGCCUCAUGCUAUAGGAGCGGCCGAUGUCUGAUUAGCUAGUUGGUGGGGUAAAGGCCUACCAAGGCGACGAUCAGUAGCUGGUCUGAGGGGACGAUCAGCCACACUGGGACUGAGACACGGCCCAGACUCCUACGGGAGUCAGCAGUGGGGAAUUUUGGACAAUGGGCGAAAGCCUGAUCCAGCAAUGCCGCGUGUGUGAAGAAGGCCUUCGGGUUGUAAAGCACUUUUGUCCGGAAAGAAAUGGCUCUGGUUAAUACCUGGGGUCGAUGACGGUACCGGAAGAAUAAGGACCGGCUAACUACGUGCCAGCAGCCGCCGUAA
rnacentral:rRNA from 1 species